UUUUCUCCACUGAAUUUAACUCCUGACUUUUGAUUUUGUCCUUAAAAGAUGGAGUCUAUACUUACAGACAUAGCAUGUUUUCAGGCUUCAAGUCUGGAGCAUGAAGACUAACAUAUUGGUAUUUUGUUCAAGAAAACAGUCUUCUUUGCAGGGACUUCUCUCUUUACCCCAUUGUGUGGUGCACUCUGGCCAUUUAACACCUUAAUUGUAGUGAAUUUACUCCAGAACCAUUUUGUAACUCUUUAAAAGAUUUUAAAGAUUAAAAGAUAAACCCUUUAAGAUCUUUAAAGAUUUUGAAAAUCUUUAAAAUACUCUUCAUUAUUCCAUUUCAAUUAAAUAGGUAUCACGAAAUGCUCAGGUUCUUGAUUUGCUGUCAACUGAGUUUCUUUCCCUCACCGGCUGUGAGGUGGAAAUUAAUCAAGAGUGAAGCUUUGCUACAGCAAGAACAUGUCAAAAGAAUAAAGAAAAUACAUGAUUCUACUUGUGGAACUUUAUAAAAGCAAUUUAAAGGUGGUGUUGUUGUAGAAGCAUUAUGAGUAAAAUUUGUAAAAAGCAUAACUCUGACAUAAGAUAAAUUGUAGUAAUGAAUUUUAUCCUAAGGCACUAGAAGCUAUGGAAGAAUUCUGUGUCGGGUCUACCAUGGUCAGAUGUGUGUUUUAAAAACCUCUCUGCCAGCUAUGCAUAUUGAUUAAUUUUUGAUGCUGAUAGGAGAAUACAAUCUUAAGGAAUAAAUUCUAAUGGAAUAUAAAUGAAAGAAAAAUUUCAAAAGUAUUGGGAAGAAGAAAAAAGACACAUGCCGCAAAUGACAAUAGAGGAAGCAAAACGUAUAAGCAAAAACAGUGAAUAUGAAAAAAUAAAUGGACAUAAAAUUAAAUAUUAAAAUGAGGUCUGGGGAUAUAGCUCAAAGUCAGAGCAUUUGCUUGCAUGUUCUAGGCUCUGAAUUCAAUGCCCAGUACUGAAACACACACACACACACACACACACACACACAUAAAACAAACAAACAAACAAACCAAAGUUGAUCAAAUUAAAAGUGUAUAAGUUAAAUUUCCCAGUUGGGAAACCAAAUUUGUAAAACAUAAAAUCCCAUUCUUCCCAAAGUCCCAUACCUACUUCUGUGCUCUCCAACUCAAUGAAUGGCAUCAUCAUGCAACAUUUUCUGGAAAGAUAUUGGCUUCUUAUUAAAAGAGAGAAACUCUUAAUCAGGUUUCCUGUCAGAUACUAAAUGAUUCAACAAUUUGAAAUAUCUUAUUAAGACAACAUUUCAUUUACUCAGGGCUGUCCAAGACUCAGCAACAACCAAAUAUUACCUAAUCCAAAGCAAGGAUUUUCAAAGACAGAAGGACAUGCAAUUAAAUCUCAGAAAUGUCACAUAUGAUCACUUCUAUUCUGAAAGGGUUUUUUAACCACUAUACAUUUCAGUUUUCUUACCUCUAAAAUAUUAUUUUUCCCCAUUAAGUACUGAAAUAAUUUUAUUUUGUAAUAUAGUAAUAAAGUAAGUUACACUAACAGAACUCUCAAUUUUAAGUCAGCUUUAAAUUUCUGAAAGAAAAAAAAAAUGGUUAGAGUGCAUUAUUUGGAAAUAUGCUCUUGUAAUCAGUUUUCUAGUAUAUAUUAAUAUUGUCUACACUUAUAAGUGAUGUACUGUUACUUUUUGUUGAGUUUUGUUUGGAAAUAUAUCCACAGAUCAGGAAAUUUGAAGUGUUUUAUAAUAUUCUAUGUUUUAAGAAAAUUUAAUGAACACAGAAAUUCUCAUUUUCUUGAGGAUUGUUUGAAAAUGAUCAAUAAAAUCAUCUGGGUCUAGUGUCUCUUGAGAAGUAAACAUGUGAUUAUCUUUUACAUGUCCUUCCCAUGGUUGAUGGCCAAUUCAUGUUUUUUAUCUUUCCUUGUGUUCAUUUUCAUAAAUAAAUAAAUAUCAUUCAUCUCAUUGUCUCAGGCAUACAGAUCACAAAAUCUGGAGUUAUUUUUAACUUUUCUAAUUUUUCUCAAAGCCAUCAGCAAAAUACUAUCAGUCUUCAUAUCAGCAAAGUAAAUCAUUUUAUUAUUAUUAGGUAGCAUACUUUGAAAAACUUAUAAUUCCAGGAUUUUUUGAGGACAANUAAAUGAAAGAAAAAUUUCAAAAGUAUUGGGAAGAAGAAAAAAGACACAUGCCGCAAAUGACAAUAGAGGAAGCAAAACGUAUAAGCAAAAACAGUGAAUAUGAAAAAAUAAAUGGACAUAAAAUUAAAUAUUAAAAUGAGGUCUGGGGAUAUAGCUCAAAGUCAGAGCAUUUGCUUGCAUGUUCUAGGCUCUGAAUUCAAUGCCCAGUACUGAAACACACACACACACACACACACACACACACACACAUAAAACAAACAAACAAACAAACCAAAGUUGAUCAAAUUAAAAGUGUAUAAGUUAAAUUUCCCAGUUGGGAAACCAAAUUUGUAAAACAUAAAAUCCCAUUCUUCCCAAAGUCCCAUACCUACUUCUGUGCUCUCCAACUCAAUGAAUGGCAUCAUCAUGCAACAUUUUCUGGAAAGAUAUUGGCUUCUUAUUAAAAGAGAGAAACUCUUAAUCAGGUUUCCUGUCAGAUACUAAAUGAUUCAACAAUUUGAAAUAUCUUAUUAAGACAACAUUUCAUUUACUCAGGGCUGUCCAAGACUCAGCAACAACCAAAUAUUACCUAAUCCAAAGCAAGGAUUUUCAAAGACAGAAGGACAUGCAAUUAAAUCUCAGAAAUGUCACAUAUGAUCACUUCUAUUCUGAAAGGGUUUUUUAACCACUAUACAUUUCAGUUUUCUUACCUCUAAAAUAUUAUUUUUCCCCAUUAAGUACUGAAAUAAUUUUAUUUUGUAAUAUAGUAAUAAAGUAAGUUACACUAACAGAACUCUCAAUUUUAAGUCAGCUUUAAAUUUCUGAAAGAAAAAAAAAAUGGUUAGAGUGCAUUAUUUGGAAAUAUGCUCUUGUAAUCAGUUUUCUAGUAUAUAUUAAUAUUGUCUACACUUAUAAGUGAUGUACUGUUACUUUUUGUUGAGUUUUGUUUGGAAAUAUAUCCACAGAUCAGGAAAUUUGAAGUGUUUUAUAAUAUUCUAUGUUUUAAGAAAAUUUAAUGAACACAGAAAUUCUCAUUUUCUUGAGGAUUGUUUGAAAAUGAUCAAUAAAAUCAUCUGGGUCUAGUGUCUCUUGAGAAGUAAACAUGUGAUUAUCUUUUACAUGUCCUUCCCAUGGUUGAUGGCCAAUUCAUGUUUUUUAUCUUUCCUUGUGUUCAUUUUCAUAAAUAAAUAAAUAUCAUUCAUCUCAUUGUCUCAGGCAUACAGAUCACAAAAUCUGGAGUUAUUUUUAACUUUUCUAAUUUUUCUCAAAGCCAUCAGCAAAAUACUAUCAGUCUUCAUAUCAGCAAAGUAAAUCAUUUUAUUAUUAUUAGGUAGCAUACUUUGAAAAACUUAUAAUUCCAGGAUUUUUUGAGGACAAAGUUUAAACCUUUCCUUGUAUAUUGAAAAAAAAUGUUCAAAUAUACCUCAUAAAAAGCUCUAGAAACUUACUGCAAAGUCAAUUUUGAUUUGUUUGAAUCAUGCAGCCUCCAUAGCUAGAAUGAGAAAAGAAGAACCAAGCUUAGACUUAAAUGGUGAUAGAAUUCAGGUUGCAAAGUCUAAGGAAAGAACCAUUCCAGGCAAAGAAACAACAAGAGCACUGUUUCUCAGUUGAGAAUGAAUUUACAUACAUUGAGGAUACUGGAAAUGAGCUGUUUUUACUAGAAUAUAAAUGAAUGGAGGCAGAGUGAACAGAGACAAAAACUAAAAUUGAAAGCUUUGUAUUUGAAAAAUGAAGUUCGAAAAUUAUUUUUGGUGGGUGGGUGCAGAAUUCUAAGUUGACAGUCUUUUGCCUGUGUGUGUGUGUGUGUGUGUAUGAUUAUUGUUUAUUUUGUGAACACUUUAAAGAUGUUAUUGCAUGGCUUUUUGGCUUGAAUUGUUUUCAGUGAGACUUCUGCCACCAUUUUUAUUUUUAAACCUCAGUGUGUGUCAUUUUUUUCCUGGUGGUUUUAAUGAGUUUGUUUUUAUCACAAUUUUAAGCAAUUUGAUUAUGAUGUGCCUUUGUGCAAAUUUUUCAGGUUUUUUACUUUGAUUUCAUUGAGCUGCUUGGAUGAGAAGGUUUAUAGUUCACAUCAAAUUGGGAAGAUCUGGCCAUUAUCUUUAAUUUUAUUUGUCUUUCUUUCCCUCCCUUUUUAUAGAACUCUAAUUACCAACAUACCCAUGAUAUUUUGUUCUAUAGAUCACUGAAGCUUUGUUAAUCUUUUUUCUUUACUCUUCUUCUCCAUUUCAUUUUGGAUAGUUUCUUUUGCUACAUAUUCAGGCUCACUAAUCUUUUUUAAAAUGUGCAAUCUACCAGUAAUCACAACUAGUAUAUUUUUCAUUAUUCUAAUUUACAUUCAUAGAAGUUUGAUGUUGCACCUUUUCUAUUUCCAAUCUCUUAUUAUGCACAGUCUUCCCUCUAAGUUCUUAAACAAGAUGGAGUGUAUUUAUAGUAAACAAGUUUUCAUUGUCUCCUAAUUUUAUUAGGUCUUUUAUUCUAUUGAUUAAUUUUAUUCCUCAAAUUUUCCUACAUUUUUGCAUGCCUGAUAAAUUUUGAUUGGUUACUUGUACUAGUUUCCAAAUGUAACUACAAAAAAAUUUGACAAAUUGGGUGGCUUAAAACAACAGAAAGGUAUUCCCCCGGAGAGUUUUGGAGGCUAGAAUUUUGCAAAGUGUUGGCAGGAGUUAUGGUUUAGACGUUAAAUGUUCUCCAAAAGCCUCAUGUGUGAAACAAUGCAAGAAAGUUCAGAGGUAAGAUGAUUGGGUUAUACAAGCCAUACAUUAAUCAGUGCUUAAUGCUAGGGAUUAACUGGGUGGUAACUUUAGGCAGGUAGGAUGCAACUGGAGGAGGUGAGGGACUUGUCCUUAGGGUAUGUAUUUUGUCCUUGGUGAGGGGAGUCUCUCUCUCUGCUUCCUGGUGAUGUAGGAAGCUGGUUUCCUCUAUCACACCCUCCUUGAUAUUCAAAGAUAUUCUGCCUCACCUCAAGCCCUGAAAAAUGGAGUUGGCUGUCUAUGGACAGAGACCUCUGAAACCAUGAACCAAGGAUAGACUUAUUUCCUCCUCUAAAAUUAUUCUUGCGUAGGCUUUUGGUCAUAGCAGUGAAAAAGUUGCCUAAAACAGCAGGAGUGUGCUCCUUUCAAAGUCUCUAGGGAGCUUCUUUUCAUGUUUUUUCCAGCUUCCGGUAGCACAGCUAUUUUUUGGCUUAUGAUAACAUAACUCCAAUUUCUGCUAUUGUCUUCAAAUGGUUAUCUACCCUCUGUAUAUAUCUGUCCUAAAUUUGUCUUUUCUUAUGAGAAUGCCAGUCAUUAGACUAAGGGUUCAUCCUAAUGACCUCAUUUUAACUUGAUUACAUCUACAAAGACUCUGUUUCCAAAUGUAAUCAUAUCACAGAUAUCAGGACUUCAACAUAUCUUUUAAGCAGAUAAUCCAGUGUAAAAUAAUGCCAGAAUGUUUGCAUUUUACUUUGUUGGGUGGUGGAUUGUUUUCUUUUUGCAUUCCUUUAAAUAUUUUUGGGCCUUAACAUGUAUUACUUGGGAUCAAUUUGAUUCUGUCAAAGUCUAUUUUAAAACUUUGUUAGGUGAGGCCUGAACGACCUGUAGUCUGACUAUGGUUAAUUUGGCCCUACUAAUAGACAUUCUGGGUCCUCUCUCUGAGGUGAAUUAUGAGGCUUUUCAUUCUGACUAGAAAUAUGAACUAAACCCAGCUUUGUAUAAGCUCCAAAGAUUAUUCUACCUUAUCCUUUCAAGUGGUUCUUUCUCCACCUCAGUAAUUUCCUCACAUAUAUGAGCAGAUAGGAACUCAGACUCAAGAGAAAUCUCACAGAAUUAUGGAGUUCUUGCAUAGUUUUCUUUUGUUUUUGAAUUCUGAUUUCCUUGACCUCCCAGUCUCUGAACUCCUUUUCUACAAAUGAGGGCGAUGACAAACUUUAGUUCAACUCUCUCUCCCUGUGCUUUGGCCUAGAAAUUCUCUCUAUGCACAAAGCCUGUACAACUCUAAGGCUCAUAACUUUCUUUUCCUUUCUCUUAUGAAUUAUUGUUUGACUAUUGUUUUCCCAAUGGCUGAAAUGUAUUGUUUCAUAUAUUUCAUACAUUUUGUCUGUUGUUGUGGUUGUAGGAGGCGGAAAGGUAAAUCUUUGUUAUUAAUUUAAAGCUAAAAACAGAAGCCUCAAAAAUGGAGUUUGGAUUACACUAUCAUUGUGUGGUCACUUCCUGCAGAUUUUAAUCCAUAGUGUAAUAUCAUCAGAUUUAUUUAUUAUUUAUUUUUAAAUGUCAUUCUUCUUAGAAGAACAGAUUGAAGAAUUGGAGUAGACAAAGGGAGACCAGAUAGGAAUCGAUUUCUCUAGGCUGGGUUACAUUUAGUGAUUUCUUGGGCCAGGUUUAUAAUAGUAGAGAUAAUAAAAAGUGAUGGUUUGGUGAUCUUGUUGCAAAUGGGUCUUAUUUAUCUUGCUGAAUGAUUUGAUGUAGAGUACAAGGAAAUAAGUGGUCAAUAAAAUAUUUCAAAUUGUUGAAUCAUUUAGUAUGUGACAGAGAACCUAGCUAAGAGUUUUCUCUCUUUUAGUAAGAAGCCAAAACCUUUCCAGAAAAUCCACAGCAAGCAUCUUUUUUAUGUCUCAUUGACCAUUAUUGGGUUCACUGGACCUCUAUGACUAUGGGGAAAGGAUAGAGCAAGAGGCUGGAGGAUUUCUAUUGGGAAGUUAAAUCAUUGCUAUAUUUGUUGCAUUGCUUUUGAUGUUUGUCAGAUGAUGACUUCAAAUCAUCCUUUUAGCCCCUUGGAACAUCAGGAAAACACAGUACAGUGUAGGGGGGAAGGGAAAAGUAUUUGCUUCUUAGGAAAUGCAUUGUAUCACUUUUAGCUCUUUCUGUGUUCUGAAUUAUUUCCAUGAUACAUUAGUGUCCAUAAUGCAGUCAUGGAUGCCCAUAUAAAAUGCUAGUUUGGCAAAUGUGUAAGAAUAAUCUGUUUUACAAUGUAAUCAUUCAUCAGGGAGCUGAUGACAGUUUUACUGAAUUAGAUACAUAAAAUAGUUUAUAAUCGGAGGACACUAGAGGGCAAAUCACUAGUUGUAGUAAUUACUCAUGUGUGAUGCACCUGACACAUGGGGAAAUAAAAUAAUGUGAAUAUGGGAACAGCUAAAGCAAUAUAUGAGUGUUCUGAAAUCACUGUAGGUAACUUUUCUUACACUCUAGAAUGUCAUACACUUAAAAUAAUGUAGUAUGAAUAUGUGACUUGAAAGGAAUACCUUAUGCAGCAGAACCCAAUCUCUGCUCCUUGAAAAGCAGAUUUUUUUGUGCUAAAUGACCAAAGAUUAAUUUGGAUUAAUCCAUUGAUCAUAGAUCAAGUUGAAGUAGGAAGUUUCUUUUAUUCAGUUCUGUGUGAUCUACUAUCUUUUUGCCUCAGUGGUCUACAUCAACAGGGUCAACCAGAGCUGUUCCUGUCCCUGAAGCAUCAGCCAUAUUUCAAUUUGCUAUUACUUGCAUUGAAAGGAAUUUUGGUUUAGGACUGAUUCUAAAUUCAUCCUGUAAUUACCACACAAAUAACAUAUUGAGAAGUUUAAUUUCUGAAUUGCAUCUUCAGGAGUUUAUUCUACCCACUGGUCAGUUCUCAGUUGCUUACUCUCAGUGAGGGAGGGAGGAAGACAUCUUAGGACACAUUAGACAAAUCUUGACUGAUGAUUACAGUUUAAGAAGAUGAUCAGCAGUUUUUUUGCCUAAUGGGCAAAUUGACUGAAUUUUCUUUUAUGGUACAAUUUAAAACAAAGUCAUUUUGUUAAUCUGGCUCAGUUAGAGCAGGCUAAUUCUAUGGCAAUAAUUUCAAAGGAGAAUAUGCAAAGAGGUUAUAAACCUGUUAUCUUUUUGGCACUAUUUUACUUUACUUUCUGUUCUUCUGGUAUGCUUUAACACCAUAGUCAUUUCUUCCUCUUUGAGUAUCUCUGGUUCUUAUUCUGAGGCAAAAGAUGGGUUGUGCUUUGAUAAACAUUUUACUAACCACACCUGAAGUCCUAGGAAAGUGCUAGGUGUGUUGUGGUCAUAGAAGAAAUUAAUCAGAAGGAUUGAUUCCCUUGGGUCAACCCUCUCUCUUCUGUAUCAUCAAUUCUCUUCUCUGCUUAUUUCUAUCAGCAUAUUCAAUUUUUUAGGUGUAUCCCAUUUCUAAAGCAUAAACAAAACUUUAGUUCAUUCCUCUUGGUCCAUGCACACCAUCUAGCAGGCCCCCUGUACUCUCUUUCAUCACAUCCUAACCAAAGCUCUAUUGUAUAUCACUAGAAUUAUUGUGCUACCCUUUGCUUAUUUUCUGUUCUUUCCUCAAGCAUCCUUGAAAUCCAUUUUACACCUAACAUUCAUAGAUAUCCUCUCACAAAUCAGAUCAUAGCAUUAAAAUUUUAAAGCCUUUUUCCCUUUAUCUUAGAGUGAAACCCAAACUCCUUUCACUGUCAACAAGAUUAUACACACAUUAUUGUCUUUACUUCAUUCUCCAAAGUUGUCUCAAACCCUGCUGUCCCCACAUUUUUCACAAAGACAUCAUCUGAUUCACAACGUGUCAGCUUCACUCAUUAUUCUUCUGUCCCUUGAAUACUUCAAGUUGUUUCCCAUCUUAAUUUUCUAUUCUCUAUUCUCUUUUGGGGUUGUUCUUAUUCUUUUGGAUGAUUGGUACCUUCUUAUCCACCCAUUGCAUCUCAGCUCAGUGAUUCCAUCCAAAAUUCAGGCUUCCUUUCCUCCCUGCAAUUAGAAUUGUAACCCACAAAUAUCCUCCCUGAUUGAAGUCACCUUCAUGAAAUCCUUUACACACAUGGAAGUAUAUCAUUCCCUGAUUUCUUAGUUCAUAUUGCCUGCUGUCGCAGUCACAACAUACAGAUAUUGAGGUACACAUUUAUAUACACACAUUAUGAAUGUAGGCCCAUUGGGAGUAUGCAUCUGCUUCAUUUUUUCACCUUUGUACCCCUGAAAACAAAGUAAAAAGUGGAUAAUAAUUUUUCAUUAGUGAUUCUUCUUUGAUAUGUGGAAUUGGAUUAAGGGAAGAAAGGUAAGGGCAGAAAUAAAUCUGAUUAAUAAUAAACUCAUUUAUUGCCUUCUAAUUGAGGAAAGGCAAUGCUCUGAACACUUUAUACAUAAUGCAGUUUAUCUUUUGAAUAUGUUAUGGUGUGGGUGCUACUAUCAUCUGCGGUUUACAGAAUAUGAAGCAAAAUCGUAAGAGGAUCAUCUGUGUUCUGAAUUUUAAAUUAUAUCCAGUGCUUUCUGGUGGCUCCCAAGUGACUAUCUCAAGCAGAAGAUGCAGUGGCUUUCACUUUGGAAUUUGGAAACCCUGAACAUCAUUUGGAGGGUUCAACAUGUACUUUCUCUGACAAAAGCAGGUGGUGGUCCACUAAGUAAACAGUAAUAUAUGAGGGUCAAAACUAAGAGAUAAAGAAAUUGAUGAAUAUUGCCAAUAAUAAAAACGAAUAAAUACUUCAGUGUACUUCAAUGUUGUCCACUUUAGCUGCUGUAGUAGGUCAGAGGAAAGGAUGUCUAAUGAUCAUUAUAUAUGUUAGCAGGUGCUCACAGGGAUCCAUUUUAGAUGCAGGAGAGGGAAGGAAGGAAAUAAAAUAUUUUCUCAUACUCAGUGCAAUCUUCUUUUUUUUUUUACUUUUUCCAUUCCUUUCUAUUUUAAAUAAUUCCUCUAUAUCAAGCUAACUCGUUCUCAGUCAAUACUAUACCUUCCACUGCAUUCUCUUUUGUUUCAUUCACGCAAAUCACUAAAUAUUUUGUUACUUUGAUGUUGGGAUCAAGGGGGAGGAUUAUAAAGGUAAAUGAAAUGUAAUGCUUGUCUUUAAGGUUGUGAGAAUCUCACAGGGAAAAAUUUCAUGUCUAAGAAUUAAAGAGUGGUAUAUUCCAAAUGUAGCUGUGGUAGGUAGUCAAUUUUUAUGAAAUUUAUUUUUUAAUAAUCAGUAUAUACAUAUGUGUGUGUGUGUGUGUGUGUUUCAUAAGGAUAUAUAAAGAUGACACAGAACCCAGGGUAUAGGAUUUUGAUUUUUUUCCUGCUUCAAAAGUUCUAAACUAAUACACUAAAAACCAUAAGAUACUGAUCAUAAUUCUGAUCCAGACAUUUUGUCACAAGAUGUUUUUCUUCUUAAAAAGCUAAUUUGUUUAAUAUAACUUUACUAAAUUUUGGUUUUUUAUCAUAUUAAAUAUAUCAAGGAAACUUUGUUUGUUUAUUUAUUUAUUUAUUUAUGGUGCUGGGGAUUGAACCCAGGGCCUUGUGCAUAAAAGGCAAGUACUCUCCCAACUUAGCUAUAUCCCCAGCCCCAAAACUUUGUUCUUUAAAAGACCUGUACUGAUAUUUUGUUUGAAAAUUUUGGCAUUUAUAAAUAUUACAAAGAAAAUAAAUUCAUAAAACACAUGGCUCAAAAGUGGCAGAGAAUUUACAGGUUCUUUGGUAAGCUGCCAAUAUCAUAUUUAACAGGAACUCUGAGGUCCAGAGAGUAGAAAUGAAUUGCCAAAGGUCACAUAUUGAUUUAGUGAGUAGUUUACAGACUUGCUUUCUCCUUGUGGUACUUUGCCCCUUUUCUUUGUAUAUCCGAAAAUUCUAAUAAAAUGCAUUCAUUAGUGAGAAAAAUAUUUUUGUACAAUAAUUAUAACCUUGAUAAAAGUAAAUAAUUCAGGAAUUGUCUGUCAAAAUAUUUUCUGAAAAAGUGAAAUUUUUUCCAACUUUUUACCUCAUUAAUUCACUUAAUAAAUAUCAGUUAAGCUUCUUCUAUUUAACUCUUUUCCUAAGAAUAUCACAUCACAAUCUAUCUAUCUCUCUCUCUCUCUCUCUUUCUCUCUCUCUCUCUCUCUCUCUCACACACACACACACACACACUUUAAAAUAAUUUCUGAGAAAUUUAUCCAUGGGGCUUAUCAGAUCAGCAUUAAUUUACCAUUAAUCAAAUAGACCUAUAAAAACACUAUGUUUUUAAAUACAAAUAAAUAAAUAUAGUUUUUUUUUACUCUAAUGUUUAUAUAAGCUCAUUAUAGAUCAUUUGUAUAAUACUGAAAAACUAGUAGAAACAAAAUAAAUCAUCUAUAGAUUCACAAUCAAGCAAGCAUACUUAAAAUACAUUAAUUUUUUACAUAAGCCAUUCAAAAAUUUUGAGGUAUAGUUUAGAUGAUAGUGCAGUCAUAAUCUCAUAAACUCAUAAAAUUUAACUUUAGUGUUAAUGCAAUUACUGCCAAUUAUUUGUAUUUAAAUGUUAUUCCAUUGCCAGAAUGCAUUAUUAUUUAUUUAGGAAUAUCCUUCAUAACAUCUAGUUACUAUUGUUAAUUAUAAUUUUUACUUUUUCUCCAACCCUUGAAGAAUCAUUCAAAAGAAAUAUAGCUCAGCACUGAGAUACUAGCUGUGCAUUAUAUGACUUAAAAAUGAAAAAAGGAGAACCUGUCAGAAAGUAUAUAAGCUCUACAACUACAGUCAUUUAACUAUUAUUUAUAAGCUACGUCUCUCUCCACCGUCAGGGACCUAUUUCCUCCUUGGGCAGAAGAUUUUUACUGAGCUCCAAUUACAUACUCUUAUAUUGGCAAUUGAGUCAUUAUUAAUGCUCCUGUUGUAUUUUUUUUUUAAUUUUCGUCAUGUUUUUUGUGAACAAAACCUUUGUGUUAGUGAGUUGUAAAAGUCUCCAUUGCUUCUCAGACACAGAAAUGCUUUGCCUUAUUCUCACCAGACUUCCUUUAGGGAUGUGGAUCAAAUUUCAUUAUGUUGACAGACUCUUGGCCUGAGCUUGUAAUUGCUUUCAUUUAUUGAUUCAUUCAUACAUGAAUAAAUUCACACAUUUAUUCACUAGCAAGUAAAUUUAUACAUCCAUGCAGCAAUUUCUCCCAAAAGUUUGUAAAGCUCUUCUGCAUACCUGUCACUAUGAUAUGCUACCUUCUGUGUAGCAUAACAUGUGUUAAUAAAUUGGACAUUUUGCCUGUGAAAGAGUUUUUUGUCUUGCAAGCAAGAAUAAUUUAUAAUAAAUUUCAAAUUUCUGACCCAUACCCUCUUGUUCUAACAAGUCACACCUGCAAGGAAGUACUUCACUGUAUCCUUACUUCUUAUUUGGAUGUAAUAGUCUGUGAAUGGUUAGUUUGAGGAGUCAACUAGACUGGCUUAAGGAAUACCAGAAAACUGGUUUACCUGUAAGGUGUUUCCAGAGGAGGUGGGGAUGUAAAUCAGUGGGUUGAGUGGGAAAGUUUUACCCUCAAUGUGGGCAGUCAACAAUCAGCUGGGGAUCUAGACAGAACAAAGAAAAAAAAAAAAGCUAAUUCUCUCUUCUCUCUCUCUCUCUCUCUCUCUCUCUCUCUCUCUCUCUCUCUCUCCUAGAGGUGGGACACAUUUCUUUUGCCCCUGGUCUUCAGAAUUCCAGGCUCUCCAUCUGCUGGAUUUCACAACUUAGAUAAGCAGCUCCCCAGAUUCUCAGACCUUCAACCUUGGAGUGAGAAUUACAGCAUUUGUUUCCUUGACUCUGAAUCUUUCAUACUUGGACUGAGCUAUGCUACCAGAAUCCAGGGUCUCCACCAAGCAGAAAACUUGGCCUGGGACUUCUUAACUUCAUAAUUAUGUGCACCAAUUCCUAUCAUAAUUAUCUAUCUGUCAAUCUAUCUAUCUAUCUAUCAUCUAUCCAUCUAUCUCCCUAUCUAUCUGUCUAUCUUUCCUCUUAAUCUCCUAUUUGUUUUGUCUCUCUGGAGUAAAUAAAUAUUCCAACUAAAUUGUCCAUGCAACCUAUAAAUGUGUCUCUCUUCCCAAACCUCAUUUCGCCUCUUCUAGUUAACUGUAUACUAAUGCAGGCAGCCAGACUAUGCCCAGCCAUCACUGGUUAUAUGGCAAGGAUUUAAGAAUUAGGAACACUCUACUACUACCCACUAAUUAUUACUCCAUUAAUAUUGAGGGUGUUGUCUGCAGAAAGAACUGAGUAGUCCUUUAUCUAAAUCAAGUCAAAGUUGUGCUUCUUAACAGCUAGAAAGAGAACAAGUUUUAUGAGUAGUUUUAUCUUUUCUGUUUUUGCUUAAAAGCAGAAAAUGAAUUCUCAAGGUUAAGUGGGAAAAUGAAACAGUUCAAUGAGUUUCUCUUAAGUUUUCACAUAAAGAGCCUACAAAAAUCCCCUGAAUGUCUCAAAUGUUCUGUUGAGAAGAUGGUAUGAAAAAAUGCUAAACUUCAGUUUUCCAUCUACUUAGAAUCGAAGAAUGGAAGACAGUAAUGAUAAGAUGAACACGGGAACGAUUCACUAAUCCACAGCUGAAAUUUGAGUAUUUUGCUUAUUACAGCCAUUCUCUACCUGGAUUUCUAAAAGUGCACAAUUCCCCUUUGACACCAUAAACUCAUUCAUGAAUAAAAAACACAGAAAGUCAUGACUUAAAAUGUGAGGCUAUAUGCACUCAGAAAAAUGAUGCUUCCUUUUCAUAGGUUAGUGAUAUGCUGUAUGAUAGUCUUUUGAUACCUAAUUUAUUUUUUUUGACAUUCAUUAAAUAAUCCAAAAUUUUAUUCAGAUUUUACCAAGGUAUUUAUUUAUAUAUGUAUGCAAUAAAUUCUAUAUAUUUUUCAUCUUUAUAUUGUGCCAUCUUUUUUACCUUUUUAAAAAUUUGUGUUAUUAUUUUUACUGUACACAUUUAUAGGAUACAUUGUGAUAAUUCCACACAUAUACACAAUAUGUUAAGAUCAAAUCAGAAGGGACUGAGGUUGUGGCUCAGUGGUAGAGCAUGUGCCUGGCAUGUGUGAGACCCUGGGUUUGAUCCUCAGCACCACAUAUAAAUAAACAAAGUAAAAAAUCCAUUGGCAACUAAAAAAUAUUUUAAAAAUAAAUCAAAUCAGGAUACUUGGCAUUUCCAUCUCUUUAAACUUUUUUAAAUAAAUUUUUGGUUAAAACAAUUGUCCAUAUUUAGGGAAAAUAAAAAUGUAAUAUUUCAAUACAUGUAUACAAUGUGUGCUGAUCAAAUCAAGGUAAUUAAUAUUUCUAUCUCCUUAUUAUUACUUUGUGUUUCAAGCCUUUGAGUUCUUUAAAUUCUAUAUAAUUUUACACCUGUGUAAAUUCAUGUUGAUACCUAAUUUCUGACUAACGUAAGUGUUCUGAGCAUGCGUGGGGUAGGGUAAACUAUAAUAUUUGGCAAAUCAGAUGUAUGAAAUGUGCUUGCAAUUUAAGAUAUUUUCAACUCAUGAUGGUUUAUCAGGACAUAAACUCAUUGUAAGUCAAGCAGCAUAUGUAAUGCAUUUGUUCUACUGCUGUGUCAGUUAUGAUCAUCCAGAAAAAUAGAAACAAACAGAAAUAGAUGGUGUGGGGGGGGGAGAGAAAGAGAGAGAGAGAGAGAGAGAGAGAGAGAGGGAGAGAGAGAGAGAGAGAGAGAGAGAGAGAGAAAGGGAUAGAGUCAGAUAGAGACUUUCCUAAAGCUUCCUACUGGCCUUGAGGAAGAAAAAGUCAUGUUAGGAACUGUCUAUGGAAAGGGUCAAACACACAAAUUUGGGAAAUUACAGGAAACAUGCAGAAACUAAAGGUCUCAAUUCCUAAACUAUAAGGAACUGAAUUUUGCUGACAAACUGAAUGUUCUUGCAAGACCCUGAACUGUGUAAAGAAGCACAGCAUGGCUCAUUGCAAGGCUGCCAGAACCUGAGGAAAGGACACAUUCACAAAUAGGUCAUAUGUACAAGCAUAGUUAUACACAACCAUGUACGUAAUAUCUACUUCAAUAUGUGAACACUAAAAUAAUGUAGGAAACUCGCAUAUUACACAUAUGUGUAUGUAUAAUUUAUAUGUAUGUGUAUAUAAGUAGGAGGUGUUUAUAUAUGUGUGUGUAGAUAUACAUAUAUAUAUAUAUAUAUUUAUUUGUGUGUGUGUGUGUGUAUAUAUAUAUAUAUAUAUAUAUAUAUAUAUAUAUAUAUAUAUAUAUAUUCAUUCUUUGGAUACAUAUGUACUAAAAAGAAAACAGUAUCAAAAUAGCCCCAGAAGCAUCAGUUUAUAGUUGUCAAUAUAUAUUGUCUAAAAUUUUGACUUUUUGCCAAAAAGUUGAAUUAUGAGACACAAGAAAGCAAUAAUGAUAAUUCAUAGACAGAGGGUUAAAAAAAAAGAAACAAAAACUGUAAGAAAUCCCAUAUGUCAAAUUUAAACAAGCAAAUGAAAAUUUCAAAAAAUCUAAAAAGACUUCAAAGAUAAUGAAGAUUAUGCAACUUAACAGCAAAAAGAAAAGAGCAUACAAUGGAUAGAAUCUCAGACAAAUAUGGUGUUAUAUUAAAUGCAUGAAUAUAUACAUAGUAGGAGCACUAGAAUGAGAAGAGAGAGAAAAAUGAACAUUGAAAAUUUUGAAGAACCAAUGGAGGAAAAAUUUCCAGCUUUGAUUAAAAAUAUCAAUUUAUAGCCCGGCAUGGUGGUAGACCCCUGAAAUCCCAGCAGCUUAGAAAGAUGAGGCAGGAGGAUUAUGCAUUCAAAGCCAGACUCAGUAAAAUCGAGGUGCUAAGCAAUUCAAUGAGACCCUGUCUCUAAAUAAAAUACAAAGUAGGGUUGGGGAUGUGGCUUAGUGGUUGAGUGUCCCAGAGUUCAAUACUUGGUACAAUGCCCCUCCCCCCAAAUCAAUUCAUAUACACAAGUAUUCAAUGAACUCCAAGUAGGAAAACCACAGAGAUAUCCACACUGAGACACCUUAUAGUAACAAUGUUGAAGGACAAAGAUGAAGAGAAUAUUUUUAAAGCUGGAAUAAAAAAAUAACUCAUAUAAGUUAUUACAUUUAAGUGAAAAUUAACAGUGGCCUUCUCACCACAAUGAACAACAGACUGCAGUGAAAUGCCAUUUUCAAAGUAGUUGGGAGAUAAUGAUAACCAGGGAUCUUAUAUCUGAAAAUGUGUGUGGUGGGGGGGAAGGGUGUUGUGGGGAUUGAACUCAGGGAUGCUUUACCACUGAGCAUUGAGCUACAUCCCCAGCCCUUUGUUUUUACUAAUUUACUUAUUUAUUUAUUUUUGAGAUGGUCUCACUAAAGUUCCUUAGUUGCUGAGACUGGCCUUAAGUUUGCAAUCUUCUUUGUUUCAGACUCCCAAGAACCUGGAAUUACAGGUGUAUACAAAUGCAUCCAGCCUAACAAAACUGUCUUUAAGAAAUAAGAAAACUUAAAUAUGUUCCCAGAAAAAUAAAAGAAACAUAAAUUGAAAGAAAUAGUAAGGAAAUCUCUUUGCUAGAGAAGAGUGGUCACAGUCUAUAGACAGGAUUCAUACAAAUAGGCAGAAAUAACUGAUAAAACAUUUAUGUGUUAAUAAAACAGAGUAUAUACUUAAGCACUUCUGUUUUUUAACUACAAUUAUAGAAAAUGAUAUUUAUAGCAUUAAAAAAUGUCAUAUAUCGCCGUGCGCAGUGGUGCAUGCUGUAAUUUCAGCAGCUUGGGAGGCUGAGACAGGAGGAUUACGUGUUCAAAGCCAGCCUCAGCAAAAGCGAGAUACUAAGCAACUUGGUGAAACCCUGUAUCUAAAUAAAAUACAAAAUGGGACUGGGUAUGUGGUCCAGUGUUCAAAUGCCCCUGAGUUCAAUCCCUCGUACCCCACUCCAAAAAAAAAAAAAGAAAAAAAGUCAUAUAUUUAAAAUUAGUAGCACAAAAGAGAUAAGUGGAAUCAAAUUUAUAAAAAGUAAGCAAAUGACACCAGAUAGUCCCAGAAUACACAUGGAUAAAUAAAGACAACCAGGUAUAAUGAAUUAAAAAGUCCUCAUGUCAAUGUGAAUAAAUAUAUACUUAUAAUUUCCUUUGUUUAAAGACAUAAAUUAGAAAAAAUAAGAAUUGUAAAACUAUAUUUUGUUUUAGUAGUAUGAUUAGUGGAUGCCUAACUUUAGUAUUCAGAGGGAAAAUGGAGAGUAACUGGAAAUAUUCUGUUUGGUGGUAUUGAUAGUUGCAGCAUAUUUUAAAUUAAAAAAAAAUGAACUGUACAAGCACAAGACAGACAGACACAGAGACACACACCCUAAGACCUACUGCAAUUUCUAUAUCCCAUUUCAUUAAUAAAUUUAACCAGGGAUUGAGCAGCAUAGUCAACAACUGAAGAUGAUCUUUUUUAAUUUUUUUUAUGUUUAUUUGUUUUAAUUAGUUACACAUGACAGUACAAUAAUCUUGAUAUAUCAUACAUUUGAAUCAGAUGGGGUAUAAUUUCUCAUUUUUCUGAGUGUACAGGUUGCAGAAUCACAUUGGUCAUACAGUCACAUAUAUACAUCCAGCAAUAAUAAUGUCUAUUUUAUUCUGCUGUCCUUCCUAUCCCCCCUUCCUCUCCCCUCCCCUCCCAUCACUUCUCUCUACCCAAUCUAAUGUGACACACUUCUUCUUAUUUUUCCCUCAAAUCAUCAUACAUGUAUUCUGUAUAAUGAUGAGGGUCUCCUAUCUUCCGUGCAAUUCCCCUUCUCCCUCCCUUUCCCUUCCACCUCUAUCUUAUAAAAUAUAUACUCUUUCCUAAUUCAUUACCACUUCCUGAGCAAUCCUCGGUGGGAGGAUAAAACUUUGGUGCACAAAUUUAGAAAAAAAAAUUUCACCAUGAUGCAGAAUUCUUAAUGGUAAUUUUAACUUACAGAAUAGUAAGAUAUUUGAGAAAAAUUUGCAUUCAUUCCAUUUCUGCUAGAUUAUUUUUGUCUACAGAGAAUACUAACUUUUAUUUUUUUUAUUGGUUGUUCAAAACAUUACAAAGCCCAUGACAUAUCUUUCAUACAUUUGACUCAAGUGGGUUAUGAACUCCCAUUUUUACCCCAAAUAGAAAUUGCAGAAUCACAUUGGUUACACAUUCACAUUUUUACAUAAUGCCAUAUUGAAUACUAACCUUUAUGAUAUAACAUGUCAUACAUUUCAAAAAUGUAUCUUCUAAAAUUAAAAAAUGGCCAUAUAUAUCUAGAUGUAAAAUUUUUGCUUUUAUAAGAACUAAUAGAUUUCUUGUGUACUAAAUAUGACACAAGUGCUUUCAAAGCUUUCAUUUUCUUGAUUUCAACAAGCAUAAAAUAGGUGGACAUCAUUUACAUGUGUAUGUGCCUACAUACAGCUAUUUUAAGCAAUAUGUUCCAUUACUUUACAUCAGCUUGUACUAUGUAUUGUAUCAUAAUACCUAAUCACAUGUUUAAAUUCUUAAGUAAUUCUACAUGCUAUUCCUAAACUUCCUUUACAUUCCCUUCAUUUUUAAUGCAUUGCAUGAUUUUAAAAAGUUAAUGCUACUACUAUCGAAAUGAAAUCAUUCUGUUACAUUGAUAAACUCCACAAAUGGCCUUGCUUCAACUUUCUUCAGAUUUUUACUAAUGUAGUCAUUUAAUACCAACUUGGAGUUUCAGGUACAGGUAACCCAAAUUCAUGGUUUCAUUCUACCAUGAGUAAAGAUAUUUUAAGGAGCCAAUAGGUUCUUUGUUUACUUGCUUAUUUACUUUUAUUUUUUUAACAUAAAUUUGGUUGUUGUCCCUGGGCAGGAUCCAUUGUAAUCUUCCCAGUAUCAUUUCAAUUUUAUACAUAUGCUGCCAGAUGAUCCUUCAAUUACUUAUUUUUAAAAUAAAAUUAUACUAACUAUUUAUUAUUUACAAGCCUGGUUAAUAUAGGAAAUGACCACAAGUGAAUAUAUUUCUUAACAUAAUAUUUUAAUUAUGGCAUAUGAAAAUGACAUUUGCAGAUAAAGAAAAUUCUUAAAUAUUUUAAUAUCUUAUGUUUCAACCUAAAUAUUUAUGCAAGAUGGAGGCAAACGUCAUGGUAUUGGCACCAAAAUAGUCUUGUAGACCCAUGGUACAGAAUAGAGGACACAGAGACAAACCCACAAAGUUAGUUAUAUGAGACAAAGUCGCCAAAAACAUAUAUUGGAGAAAAGACUGGAAAUCCAUAUGCAACACAAUGAAAUUAAGCCCCUAUUUCUCAUGAUGCACAAAACUCAAUUCAAAGUGGAUAAAGGACAUAGGAAUUAAACCAGAGACCCUGUUCCUAAUAAAAGAAAAUUAGGCCCAAAUCUCCAUUGUGUUGGAUUAGGCCUGACUUCCUUAAUAAGACUCCUAUUGUGAAAGAAUUAAAAUCAAGAAUGAGUAAAUGGGAUGGAUUCAUACUAAAAAGCUUCUUCUCAGCAAAAGAAUCUAUGAUGUGAAUAGAGAGCCUACAGAAUGGGAGCAAAUUUUUACCACACUCAUAUAUCAGAUAGAGCACUAACCUCUANCAGCUCCCCAGAUUCUCAGACCUUCAACCUUGGAGUGAGAAUUACAGCAUUUGUUUCCUUGACUCUGAAUCUUUCAUACUUGGACUUAGCCAUGCUACCAGAAUCCAGGGUCUCCACCAAGCAGAAAACUUGGCCUGGGACUUCUUAACUUCAUAAUUAUGUGCACCAAUUCCUAUCAUAAUUAUCUAUCUGUCAAUCUAUCUAUCUAUCUAUCAUCUAUCCAUCUAUCUCCCUAUCUAUCUGUCUAUCUUUCCUCUUAAUCUCCUAUUUGUUUUGUCUCUCUGGAGUAAAUAAAUAUUCCAACUAAAUUGUCCAUGCAACCUAUAAAUGUGUCUCUCUUCCCAAACCUCAUUUCGCCUCUUCUAGUUAACUGUAUACUAAUGCAGGCAGCCAGACUAUGCCCAGCCAUCACUUGUUAUAUGGCAAGGAUUUAAGAAUUAGGAACACUCUACUACUACCCACUAAUUAUUACUCCAUUAAUAUUGAGGGUGUUGUCUGCAGAAAGAACUGAGUAGUCCUUUAUCUAAAUCAAGUCAAAGUUGUGCUUCUUAACAGCUAGAAAGAGAACAAGUUUUAUGAGUAGUUUUAUCUUUUCUGUUUUUGCUUAAAAGCAGAAAAUGAAUUCUCAAGGUUAAGUGGGAAAAUGAAACAGUUCAAUGAGUUUCUCUUAAGUUUUCACAUAAAGAGCCUACAAAAAUCCCCUGAAUAUCUCAAAUGUUCUGUUGAGAAGAUGGUAUGAAAAAAUGCUAAACUUCAGUUUUCCAUCUACUUAGAAUCGAAGAAUGGAAGACAGUAAUGAUAAGAUGAACACGGGAACGAUUCACUAAUCCACAGCUGAAAUUUGAGUAUUUUGCUUAUUACAGCCAUUCUCUACCUGGAUUUCUAAAAGUGCACAAUUCCCCUUUGACACCAUAAACUCAUUCAUGAAUAAAAAACACAGAAAGUCAUGACUUAAAAUGUGAGGCUAUAUGCACUCAGAAAAAUGAUGCUUCCUUUUCAUAGGUUAGUGAUAUGCUGUAUGAUAGUCUUUUGAUACCUAAUUUAUUUUUUUUGACAUUCAUUAAAUAAUCCAAAUUUUAUUCAGAUUUUCCCAAGGUACUUAUUUAUAUAUGUAUGCAAUAAAUUCUAUAUAUUUUUCAUCUUUAUAUUGUGCCAUCUUUUUUACCUUUUUAAAAAUUUGUGUUAUUAUUUUUACUGUACACAUUUAUAGGAUACAUUGUGAUAAUUCCACACAUGUACACAAUAUGUUAAGAUCAAAUCAGAAGGGACUGAGGUUGUGGCUCAGUGGUAGAGCAUGUGCCUGGCAUGUGUGAGACCCUGGGUUUGAUCCUCAGCACCACAUAUAAAUAAACAAAUUAAAAAUCCAUUGGCAACUAAAAAAUAUUUAAAAAAAAAUCAAAUCAGGAUACUUGGCAUUUCCAUCUCUUUAAACUUUUUAAAAUAAAUUUUUGGUUAAAACAAUUGGCCAUAUUUAGGGAAAAUAAAAAUGUAAUAUUUCAAUACAUGUAUACAAUGUGUGCUGAUCAAAUCAAGGUAAUUAAUAUUUCUAUCUCCUUAUUAUUACUUUGUGUUUCAAGCCUUUGAGUUCCUUAAAUUCUAUAUAAUUUUACACCUGUGUAAAUUCAUGUUGAUACCUAAUUUCUGACUAACGUAAGUGUUCUGAGCAUGCGUGGGGUAGGGUAAACUAUAAUAUUUGGCAAAUCAGAUGUAUGAAAUGUGCUUGCAAUUUAAGAUAUUUUCAACUCAUGAUGGUUUAUCAGGACAUAAACUCAUUGUAAGUCAAGCAGCGUAUGUAAUGCAUUUGUUCUACUGCUGUGUCAGUUAUGAUCAUCCAGAAAAAUAGAAACAAACAGAAAUAGAUGGUGUGUGGGCGGGGGGAGAGAAAGAGAGAGAGAGAGAGAGAGAGAGAGAAAAGGGAUAGAGUCAGAUAGAGACUUUCCUAAAGCUUCCUACUGGCCUUGAGGAAGAAAAAGUCAUGUUAGGAACUGUCUAUGGAAAGGGUCAAACACACAAAUUUGGGAAAUUACAGGAAACAUGCAGAAACUAAAGGUCUCAAUUCCUAAACUAUAAGGAACUGAAUUUUGCUGACAAACUGAAUGUUCUUGCAAGACCCUGAACUGUGUAAAGAAGCACAGCAUGGCUCAUUGCAAGGCUGCCAGAACCUGAGGAAAGGACACAUUCACAAAUAGGUCAUAUGUACAAGCAUAGUUAUACACAACCAUGUACGUAAUAUCUACUUCAAUAUGUGAACACUAAAAUAAUGUAGGAAACUCACAUAUUACACAUAUGUGUAUGUAUAAUUUAUAUGUAUGUGUAUAUAAGUAGGAGGUGUUUAUAUAUGUGUGUGUAGAUAUACACAUAUAUAUAUAUUUAUUUAUUUGUGUGUAUGUGUAUAUAUAUAUAUAUAUAUAUAUAUAUAUAUAUAUAUGUAUAUAUAUAUAUAUAUAUAUAUAUAUUCAUUCUUUGAAUAUAUAUAUAUAUAUUCAUUCUUUGGAUACAUAUGUACUAAAAAGAAAACAGUAUCAAAAUAGCCCCAGAAGCAUCAGUUUAUAGUUGUCAAUAUAUAUUGUCUAAAAUUUUGACUUUUUGCCAAAAAGUUGAAUUAUGAGACACAAGAAAGCAAUAAUGAUAAUUCAUAGACAGAGGGUUAAAAAAAAAAGAAACAAAAACUGUAAGAAAUCCCAUAUGUCAAAUUUAAACAAGCGAAUGAAAAUUUCAAAGAAUCUAAAAAGACUUCAAAGAUAAUGAAGAUUAUGCAACUUAACAGCAAAAAGAAAAGAGCAUACAAUGGAUAGAAUCUCAGACAAAUAUGGUGUUAUAUUAAAUGCAUGAAUAUAUACAUAGUAGGAGCACUAGAAUGAGAAGAGAGAGAAAAAUGAACAUUGAAAAUUUUGAAGAACCAAUGGAGGAAAAAUUGCCAGCUUUGAUUAAAAAUAUCAAUUUAUAGCCCGGCAUGGUGGUAGACCCCUGAAAUCCCAGCAGCUUAGAAAGAUGAGGCAGGAGGAUUAUGCAUUCAAAGCCAGACUCAGUAAAAUCGAGGUGCUAAGCAAUUCAAUGAGACCCUGUCUCUAAAUAAAAUACAAAGUAGGGUUGGGGAUGUGGCUUAGUGGUUGAGUGUCCCAGAGUUCAAUACUUGGUACAAUGCCCCUCCCCCCAAAUCAAUUCAUAUACACAAGUAUUCAAUGAACUCCAAGUAGGAAAACCACAGAGAUAUCCACACUGAGACACCUUAUAGUAACAAUGUUGAAGGACAAAGAUGAAGAGAAUAUUUUUAAAGCUGGAAUAAAAAAAUAACUCAUAUAAGUUAUUACAUUUAAGUGAAAAUUAACAGUGGCCUUCUCACCACAAUGAACAACAGACUGCAGUGAAAUGCCAUUUUCAAAGUAGUUGGGAGAUAAUGAUAACCAGGGAUCUUAUAUCUGAAAAUGUGUGUGGUGGGGGGGAAGGGUGUUGUGGGGAUUGAACUCAGGGAUGCUUUACCACUGAGCAUUGAGCUACAUCCCUAGCCCUUUGUUUUUACUAAUUUAUUUAUUUAUUUAUUUUUGAGAUGGUCUCACUAAAGUUCCUUAGUUGCUGAGACUGGCCUUAAGUUUGCAAUCUUCUUUGCUUCAGACUCCCAAGAACCUGGAAUUACAGGUGUAUACAAAUGCAUCCAGCCUAACAAAACUGUCUUUAAGAAAUAAGAAAACUUAAAUAUGUUCCCAGAAAAAAAAAAAGAAACAUAAAUUGAAAGAAAUAGUAAGGAAAGCUCUUUGCUAGAGAAGAGUGGUCACAGUCUAUAGACAGGAUUCAUACAAAUAGGCAGAAAUAACUGAUAAAACAUUUAUGUGUUAAUAAAACAGAGUAUAUACUUAAGCACUUCUGUUUCUUAACUACAAUUAUAGAAAAUGAUAUUUAUAGCAUUAAAAAAUGUCAUAUAUCGCCGUGUGCAGUGGUGCAUGCUGUAAUUUCAGCAGCUUGGGAGGCUGAGACAGGAGGAUUACAUGUUCAAAGCCAGCCUCAGCAAAAGCGAGAUACUAAGCAAUUUGGUGAAACCCUGUAUCUAAAUAAAAUACAAAAUGGGACUGGGUAUGUGGUCCAGUGUUCAAAUGCCCCUGAGUUCAAUCCCUCGUACCCCACUCCAAAAAAAAAAAGAAAAAAAAAAGUCAUAUAUUUAAAAUUAGUAGCACAAAAGAGAUAAGUGGAAUCAAAUUUAUAAAAAGUAAGCAAAUGACACCAGAUAGUCCCAGAAUACACAUGGAUAAAUAAAGACAACCAGGUAUUGUCGCGACCCCUUGCCCGCAAGGAAGACGCAACUCGGGAAUCUUCAUUCAACAGUUUAUUCAGGCCCUUGAUAUUUCUUCUUCUAACCCUCGGAUGCCCCUCCCAGCCUUAAUAAAGCAUCUCAAGCCCCAAUGCGAAGCUGCCACGUGGAGCUUUCUCAUAGGGUGGUAAGGGAUUGCGUGCCAAUUCUCCAUAUAAGGAGUUGUUUAUCACAGGCCACAGUGGAAGCCGGCGCCAUCUUCUAAUGGCGGCCACGGUCUAUUAGAACGGCUCACCACAAGGUAUAAUGAAUUAAAAAGUCCUCAUGUCAAUGUGAAUAAAUAUAUACUUAUAAUUUCCUUUGUUUAAAGACAUAAAUUAGAAAAAAUAAGAAUUGUAAAAUUAUAUUUUGUUUUAGUAGUAUGAUUAGUGGAUGCCUAACUUUAGUAUUCAGAGGGAAAAUGGAGAGUAACUGGAAAUAUUCUGUUUGGUGGUAUUGAUAGUUGCAGCAUAUUUUAAAUUAAAAAAAAAUGAACUGUACAAGCACAAGACAGACAGACACAGAGACACACACCCUAAGACCUACUGCAAUUUCUAUAUCCCAUUUCAUUAAUAAAUUUAACCAGGGAUUGAGCAGCAUAGUCAACAACUGAAGAUGAUCUUUUUAAAUUUUUUUUUAUGUUUAUUUGUUUUAAUUAGUUACACAUGACAGUACAAUAAUCUUGAUCUAUCAUACAUUUGAAUCAGAUGGGGUAUAAUUUCUCAUUUUUCUGAGUGUACAGGUUGCAGAAUCACAUUGGUCAUACAGUCACGUAUAUACAUCCAGCAAUAAUAAUGUCUAUUUUAUUCUGCUGUCCUUCCUAUCCCCCCUUCCUCUCCCCUCCCCUCCCAUCACUUCUCUCUACCCAAUCUAAUGUGACACACUUCUUCUUAUUUUUCCCUCAAAUCAUCAUACAUGUAUUCUGUAUAAUGAUGAGGGUCUCCUAUCUUCCGUGCAAUUCCCCUUCUCCCUCCCUUUCCCUUCCACCUCUAUCUUAUAAAAUAUAUACUCUUUCCUAAUUCAUUCCCACUUCCUGAGCAAUCCUCGGUGGGAGGAUAAAACUUUGGUGCACAAAUUUAGAAAAAAAAAUUUCACCAUGAUGCAGAAUUCUUAAUGGUAAUUUUAACUUACAGAAUAGUAAAAUAUUUGAGAAAAAAUUGCAUUCAUUCCAUUUCUGCUAGAUUAUUUUUGUCUACAGAGAAUACUAACUUUUAUUUUUUUUAUUGGUUGUUCAAAACAUUACAAAGCCCAUGACAUAUCUUUCAUACAUUUGACUCAAGUGGGUUAUGAACUCCCAUUUUUACCCCAAAUACAAAUUGCAGAAUCACAUUGGUUACACAUUCACAUUUUUACAUAAUGCCAUAUUGAAUACUAACCUUUAUGAUAUAACAUGUCAUACAUUUCAAAAAUGUAUCUUCUAAAAUUAAAAAAAAUGGCCAUAUAUAUCUAGAUGUAAAAUUUUUGCUUUUAUAAGAACUAAUAGAUUUCUUGUGUACUAAAUGUGACACAAGUGCUUUCAAAGCUUUCAUUUUCUUGAUUUCAACAAGCAUAAAAUAGGUGGACAUCAUUUACAUGUGUAUGUGCCUACAUACAGCUAUUUUAAGCAAUAUGUUCCAUUACUUUACAUCAGCUUGUACUAUGUAUUGUAUCAUAAUACCUAAUCACAUGUUUAAAUUCUUAAGUAAUUCUACAUGCUAUUCCUAAACUUCCUUUACAUUCCCUUCAUUUUUAAUGCAUUGCAUGAUUUUAAAAAGUUAAUGCUACUACUAUCGAAAUGAAAUCAUUCUGUUACAUUGAUAAACUCCACAAAGGGCCUUGCUUCAACUUUCUUCAGAUUUUUACUAAUGUAGUCAUUUAAUACCAACUUGGAGUUUCGGGUACAGGUAACCCAAAUUCAUGGUUUCAUUCUACCAUGAGAAAAGAUAUUUUAAGGAGCCAAUAGGUUCUUUGUUUACUUGCUUAUUUACUUUUAUUUUUUUAACAUAAAUUUGGUUGUUGUCCCUGGGCAGGAUCCAUUGUAAUCUUCCCAGUAUCAUUUCAAUUUUAUACAUAUGCUGCCAGAUGAUCCUUCAAUUACUUAUUUUUAAAAUAAAAUUAUACUAACUAUUUAUUAUUUACAAGCCUGGUUAAUAUAGGAAAUGACCACAAGUGAAUAUAUUUCUUAACAUAAUAUUUUAAUUAUGGCAUAUGAAAAUGACAUUUGCAGAUAAAAAAAUUCUUAAAUAUUUUAAUAUCUUAUGUUUCAACCUAAAUAUUUAUGCAAGAUGGAGGCAAACGUCAUGGUAUUGGCACCAAAAUAGUCUUGUAGACCCAUGGUACAGAAUAGAGGACACAGAGACAAACCCACAAAGUUAGUUAUAUGAGACAAAGUCGCCAAAAACAUAUAUUGGAGAAAAGACUGGAAAUCCAUAUGCAACACAAUGAAAUUAAGCCCCUAUUUCUCAUGAUGCACAAAACUCAAUUCAAAGUGGAUCAAGGACAUAGGAAUUAAACCAGAGACCCUGUUCCUAAUAAAAGAAAAUUAGGCCCAAAUCUCCAUUGUGUUGGAUUAGGCCUGACUUCCUUAAUAAGACUCCUAUUGUGAAAGAAUUAAAACCAAGAAUGAGUAAAUGGGAUGGAUUCAUACUAAAAAGCUUCUUCUCAGCAAAAGAAUCUAUGAUGUGAAUAGAGAGCCUACAGAAUGGGAGCAAAUUUUUACCACACUCAUAUAUCAGAUAGAGCACUAACCUCUAGGAUACAUAAAGAACUUAAAAACCUUAACACCAAAAAAAAAAAAAAAAACGAAACAACAACAACAAAAAAACCAAAUAACUCAAUCAAUAAAUAGACCAAGGAACUGAACAAACACUUCUUAGAAAAUGAUAUACAAUUAAUCAACAAAUAUAUGAAAAAAUGUUCAACAUCUCUAGCAAUUAGAGAAAUGCAAAUCUAAGAUUUGAAACUACUAUUCUAAGAUUUCAUCUCACUCCAGUCAGAAUGGGCAGCUAUUAAGAAAAAAAAAACAAAAACAAGUGUUGGUGAGGACGUGGGGAAAAAGGCACACUCAUACAUUGCUGGUGGGACUACAAAUUGGUGCAGCCAAUAUGAAAAGCAGUAAGGAAUUUCCUUGGAAAACUGAGAAUGGAACCACUAUUUGACCCAGCUAUCUCACUCCUUGGUUUAUACCCAAAGGACUUAGAAACAACAUACUUCAGAGAUGCAACCAUAUCAAUGUUUAUAGCAGGACAAUUCACAAUAGCAAAAUUGUGUAACAUACCUAGAUGCCCUUUAGUAGAUGAAUGAACAUAUACACAAUGGAAUACUACUACUCAAGCAUUAAAAAGAAUAAAAUCAUGGCAUUUGCAGGUAAAUGAAUGGAGUUGCAGGAUAUCAUGCUAAGUGAAGUAAGACAUUCCCCAAAAAACAAAUACCAAAUGUUUUCUCUGACAUAAGAAUGCUGAUUCAUAAUGGGGAUGGGGGGAAUCAUAGGAGAAAUAGAUGAACUUUAGAUAGGGAGAAAAGGAAGGGGGAAGGGGGGUAGGAAAGAUGGUGGAAUGAUAUGGACAUUAUUAUCCUAAGUACACAUAUGAAGACACAAAUGGUGUGACUCUACUUUGUGUACAACCAGAGACAUGAAAAAUUGUGCUCUAUGUUUGUAAUAUGUAUUGAAUUACAUUCUUCUGUAAUAUACAACAAAUUAGAAUAAAUAUUUUUUAAAAAAAUCUAUAAAAAAGAAAGUUAAUUUUUCUUUUAAUAGUUAUUAAAUCCCACUUAUAUUCCAACAUGGAUGGAUGGUUUUACACACACACACACACACACACACACACACAUAUUUACUAACUAAAAUAAUAUGAAGAAGAAUAGAAGGGAAAUCAUUACAGUAAGAAAAUAAAUUAGGGGUAGAGAGACGAGGCAUGAAAGGAAAGAUACUGUGAAAGGAAAUUGAGCAAACAGUGUAUGCAUGUGAAAAUAUGGCAUAGUGAAUCCCACUAUUAUGUAUAAUUAUAAUGUGCCAAUAAAAAAAAAAGAAAGAAUAUUAUGGAAAUUAUCCUAAAAGCAGUCAAAAUUACAUGGGGAAUUGAUAUUUGAGUACAUUUUAAAAUAUAACAUAGUUAUAGAAUAAAUGUAUGCUUACAAAAAUAAUAUAGUAAUGGGGUAUUUAUUCUCACUCAGUAGUUUGGAAAGAUUUAGAGUGAAUAAUGAAGCCUGGUAAAAUAUAUUUAUGUAGGUAAGCAAUUAAUGUUUUGCAUUUUUUAUAAUAUCUUGAAAAUUUUACAAUUUUAAGUUAAGCUGCUUUUAAAAGAAGAAAAUCACCUAUAUACAAUCAUUAUACCCUUAUUUCAUUAACUGUUUCUAGAAUAUAUAAUACACAGAUGUACACAUAAAAAAGGUGCAAUAAUGUUUUGAGUGUGAUCCUUAUAUUGAUUCUGUAUGAGGUGGGGCACAUGCUAAACAUAUAAAUAUCACAUAUAGUAAGGUCAUGGACCCAUAACAUAUUACUCUAUAUAAACUAGUGUUUUUAAUGUUUUAAUUAUGUAAUAAUUACAUAUGAUAAUGAGGUUCAUUGUGAUUUAUUCAUACAUGCACAUAAUUUUCUCCAUUUAUUUCCCCAGUAUCUGUCUUUUUCCUCCCUUCCUCCCCCUGACCCUGAUUCUCUUUCCCUACUCUUCUGGUCAUCGUUCUUCUAUUUAUGUAUAUAUUUUCAUUGAUGCAUUAUAAGUAUACAUGAAAGUGGGAUUUAAUGUAAUACAUUCAUACAUUCAUAUAGCAUAAUCUGGAUGAUUUUAUCCCCAGUUCUCCCUUUUCUCUCCCCCUUGUUUCCCUAUCUCUACUCUAUUUAUCUCCCUUCUAUUUUCAUGAUAUCCACUUUUUAAGUUCCAUUUUCUUCUCUAGUGUCUAUAUAAGAGAGAUAACAUCUGACCCUUGACUUAAUGAGUCUGGCUUAUUAUACUUAACAUGAUGUUUUGCAGUUCUAUUCAUUUACCAGCAAAUAACACAAUUUCAUUUUUCAUUACUGUGUUCUAAGUUUUAUUUUUUAAUGAAAUGCUGUUAUGAGAAAUAGAAGUGUGAAUUUAUGAAUGUGUACUUAAGUUACAGUGCAAUCUAGACUUCAUAAUCUUUUGCCUAUGUGAUUUGUGAAAAAAUAUUUACCUAUCUUUUUCAUUAAGAACAUGGAAAUAAAGAACAUUCCCUUCUAAAAAUUAAUUGAAACUGUAAAUACACAUUUUAAUAUAAAGUAAAUUUCCAUCCUAUUAUUUAACAAAAAAUAUCAUUUUAUUGUUUUCACAAUAGCCCUUCAUAUUUAAACUAUAAUUUACACAAUACUUUCAUAUUGACAUUUAUGUUUUAAAUAAUUCAGCAAUGACCUCACAUUUUUAUACAUGUAAAAAUUCCUUGUAAUCUUCUUAAGGUAAAUUCCUAGAAGGUUUUUUUUUUUUUUUUUUUGGCAGAAGAGGAAUGUUCAAAGCAUCCAUUAUACGUAGAGAGCUAAAUUGAUCUAUAGAGAAUUUAUACCAACUAAUAUUAUCAAUAUCAGCUUAUGGAAUUCACCAUUCACUUACAAAUAACAGAUAACAAUCACAAUCUAUAUAUAACAUAUAUAACAAUAACAUAUCUACAGAUAUAUAGAAAGACCUUAAAAGUUUCUAAAAAUGUAAUUUGUAUCCUAAUUAAUUUAAUAUUUCUUCCAGAUGAAUUUUGGUAAAUAAAAUUCAGUUUGGGACUAGGAUUACACUUUGUAUUUUUUUCUGUGAAGACGUCUUGUUUUUCUUUUGCAUCUUUUGAUAGUGAAUUGUAAGACACCCCUACAUAUUUUUGUUACCCACUCUGUCAAAAAUAUUCUAGUUUCACAUUCAUAUUUUAAUCCCCAUAUAUCACUUGUAGAUAUUUUAGGAUAUUAUUCAUUACUAAAAGUUACUAAUUGAGCUCUCAUCAUUAUUUCUACAAUUAUUUUAUGGUUUUAUUUUUAAUACUUAACUUUCAAAUUCUGAUGGAAUUAAUUUUGUUUCAAUGUGUGAAAAGAGGUACCGAUUCAUCCAUUUUUCUUAAAUAAUGACCCAAUUUUCUCAGAAAAAAAAUAUGUUAUUCCACACUAAUAUGUGAUGCCACCCAAAUUGAAUUAUAUGCAGUUGUUACCAUUUUAAUUCUUUGCAUUGCUCUUCAGGUCUAUUCCAUUGUCAACAUCAUUGCUUUGCUUAUAGUAUUUUUGUAAUAACAUUGACCAUAAUAGCUCAAGAAUUCUGAAAAUUAUCUUUCCCAUUUUACCAAUGUUUUUGUUUCUCUCAAUUUAUAUUCCUUUGUCAAGAUUUCAUUUUUGAGUGGCCAAGGAAAAGAACAGUAAAAGAUACUUAUGAAUUUCACUGUGAAAAGCAUGUGCUUUGAUUUUAUAAAUACCAAUGUUUUACAAUACUUAGUGGAAUACUUCAUAGCUCUUCAUUUAUUUUAUCUAAUUUGUUACUGUUAAGUCACAGGUUUCAGGGCUGAUCACACUGGCUAUCUUCCUUUUAGUAGUGUUUUCCCCCUAGGAACCCUGGUUGUAUUUACUGGCAGAUCCCCUGCUAAAAUCAAUAUCUUGAUCUAAGAGGAAUUUUCUUAACCUCCUUCUGUCCCAGAAUUUUCAUGUUUACCUUUGUCCAUUGUUUCAAUUUUUUUUUUCCUCAUAGUAAUUACCACUGCCAGAAGCUACAUUUUCUAUUUAUUUUUGAAUUUUCCCUCUAUGCCAAUGUUGGUCCAAUGUUUUCUUUGUUCAAUACUGAAUCUUUGAUGAGUGUUUAGAACAUUGCUAGCACUAAGAAUUAACCAACAGUACUCAGUGAAAAUUUUCAUUUUAUUUACAUGGAUCAUGCUGAUGUCUUUCUUAAAUAAACUAUAGUUUUUGUUUUUAUAGAUAAGUAAAAGCAAUAUUUUAUUAUUUUAUUUUCUCCUAGAUAUUAGACUACCUAAAUAUUGUGCAUCCCUGAUGAACUGUUGAAGUUUGUAUGGAUUCUUUGAAAAUUUUUUUGAAGUCUAAUAUAAUCUGGCAAAAAUAUUCAAAUUUUUAUUAAAUCUAGAUUAAAGAUUGAGAUAUGUAAUUAUAAAAAAUAUAUAAAUAGACAUAGAUAUUCAAAGAAUCAAGUCGCCCUAAAAUUGACUGAAACAUUGAACACCUAUCCCUAACACAUUAUAUUUCUAUAGUACUUUAGAUUACUGGGCUGGGGUUGUGGUUUAGCAGUAGAGUGCUUGCCUAGCAAAUGAGAGGCCCUGGGUUUGAUCCUCAGCACCACAUAAAAAUAAGUAAAUAAAAUAAAUGCAUUGAAAAAUAUUUUCGAUUACUAUGCAGUGGAACUACCAAAUAGAUUGAAGGAACAUUAAGUAUAGGAAAGUGAUAAAUUACUUUAAAGUGAAGUAGAAUGGAGUGGCUGGUAUGGAAACUUUAUGAUGGCAGAAAGAAGCAGUUCCAUGAAAAGCAUUAUUAGCAACUGGAAAGAACUUGUUAAGCAUCUUUGUAAGUAGUUGCUUAGAUGAUUCUGAAAUUGGAUAAUAGAGGUACAGCAUUACUGUAGAAGCACUAGAGGCAAUAAUGGAGAUUGUGUCAUUGGAGAAGACCUUUGUACUCUGUACUCACUGAGAAUUUUGGUAUGAAAGUCUGAGGCUUAUUGUGUUUCUCCUGUUCUCUGAUCUGAAAGACUUUAAAUGGUUUGAUGAAUCAUUGGGACAGAAUAAUUCUAAAAUCUCUUCCAACUUAAUAUGUGUACAUUUCGCCACACAAUUAAAUUCAGACAUAAUAAACUAAGUAGAUGAUAAUAACUUGUUUUCCAUAGGAGGAGACACAAUAAGAAAAAAUUGACUUUAGAAUUGUAAGAAAAUAGAGUGAAUUUCUUUUUCACCUUGGAAUUAUAUUUUUCCUAAGAACCUGUUGUUACUGACUGAUAGAAAAUUAAAUCCUUAUAAAUAUAAAAUAAAGCUUUAUGACAUCUCCUGGAUUAUGGAAUAUAUCCAUCCCUAUACCUUAGUUUUGAUUGAACUUAAAAAUAAAAUUUUUGCUUAGGAUCUCCUCUCAUAAUAGCUAUUUGUACAAAAAUUUUUCAUGCCAUUGUAAUAUGUUUUAAUUUUCUUUUAAAAAGCCGGUAUUUAAAUUUGACUUAGUUGGGUUUUAUGGAACAUAACCUAGAACUGAGAUUUGUUGUCUUGUUUUGUUGUUGUUGUCUUUGUUUUUUUGUAUAGUCAAAACCUACUGAAAAUUUCUCCUUUUCAAAUUUUUAAUUAUCAUCAUCAUCAGUAAUACUAUUGUUAUUUUAAAUACUUCAGUGUUUUCCUUACUGUAUGGGCUUUUGAAAUCAUUGUCCACUAAUUAAUAUUUCCAAGAUAGUCUACUGCUUACACAGAUCUUACAGACCCCCAGCCAAUGAGAAAUGUUUCUUUGUCAACAGGUGAAUAAAGCAAAAUGUGCUUGGUAUAUUCCUCCCCAUUUCAGGUUCUUUUCCUUCAUCUUCUUCCCAUGAUAGAGUUUGAUGUUUACAAAAAAAUCUCAGCUGGGUGUAGUAUCCCAUGCCUGUAAUCUCAGUGGCUCAGAAUCAGGAAGAUCACAAGUUUGAGGUCACUCUCAGCAACUUAAGAAGGCUCGAAGGCAACUUAGUGAGACCCUUUUUAAAAUAAAAAAUAAAGUGGGCUGAGGAUGUAGCUCAGUGGUAAAGCAAAGGCCUCUGGGUUCUAAAUAAACGAAUAAAUAAACUUGAAGAAAGAAAACAAAAGAAUGAAAUAAAAAUUCUCACUCUAUUAGCUCCUCUAGUUAUUACAGUAUCCAGAAAAUUAAUUUUUAAAAUACGGGUUAAAUGCUUGUGAUUUAAAUCCAACACAUUUCAAGCACAAAAGGGGAACUGUGGAUUCAGUGUCUGAUUAAGUCGGAACCUAAAAGAUAUUCUUUCAGUGGAUGUUGCUCUGAUCUUUUCUUGAAUCCUUUGUUAACUGCCAAUAAAUCUUGGUUUCGCAUGGGUCUGAUAUGUUGGCUCUUUGCAGGGUGUAUUUUUGUGUUUGUGCGAAGGUAGGGUAUGUGUAUGUAUGUAUUCAUCUCACAAAAAAGAAAUUGCCCAGAGUUCUCUGGUUGUGUAACAUUUGACUGCAGAGGUUUCUCCUCUCCAAUGCUGUGUUGUUCUUUGCCAAUUAGGUAAACAUUAGGCACUUGUGUAACCUUUUUAUUCUCUAACAUUUUCUAUUUCCUUUCUGUUGCAAGAAGUAGCAAAGUUCUGAAGAAGGAAUACAAUCUUAUUUUCUUACUUAUGGUGUUAUUUUCUUAGUUUUGAUACCACAAAUUCACCAUGCCUGUGUGUGUGUGUGUGUGUGUGUGUGUAUGACAUCAUACACCUGCACUUAGGGACAUGUGAAGUAACCUGGGUUUUUAGGGCUAUUCAUGAGCUUUGCAUUCUCUGGCCCUGAAUGCUUCACAAGUUAAAUUUUAAGCUUUCAAUUAAGAGGCCUUCAGUCCAUCUUUUAGAAUCAUCAUUUUCCAACACAGACUCCAUCUCUUCUGAUAUCUAUCAGAACGUACAUUUGUAAUUUUAUGCAGAAAAAACCAUGUGGAUUACCAAGAAAAUUGUUAUAUUUUAUUUACCACCAAGGAGUUUUUAAAUUCCUAGGGAAAGUAGGCAGAGUGAGUUGUUUAUUUUUCUGGUGUGCCAUCAAGGAAAUCUGUCAAUUUAAUAUACCAGUUUAUCUUUUUGAGCCCAAAUAAUACUCACUUUGUACUUCAAAAAUUUAUUAAUCAAAUCUCAAGUGUCACAAAUAUUUGUUGAAGCACUAGAUCUAGAUUUAGCUUGUUGGUAGAUUUUCAACUCUUCUGUACAUUCUAAUUCUAUUGCUUUUCUUCCAGAGUCUAUAAUAAUAGAUUCUUGAAAUCAGUGAAUAUUUAAAUUACUUUUUACAUAUUUAUGAAGUGUCUGCCUCUGCCAGAUCCUGCUGUAAGUACAGGCAAUGUAAUGGUCAGACUGACUGCCAAAUUUGGUAUAAAUAUAUCUGUGAGUUCCUCAACCACACAAAAAGACAUGGCAGAAUUCCCAGCUUGGCAGAAUUUUAAACCAUAUGAAUUGAUGCCUAAUGAGAACGUCUUUACUCUAUGAACCCAUUACAACAUAUAAUUCUAUUCUCUCUAUCAUCUAGGACUUCUGAAAAUCAUAUUAUGAGAGACUAUGCACCAUGUUUAGUAUCCUGGGAGAUAACAAAACUGAGCUGAAGAAGUAUUAUCAUGAUUACAGAAAAUCAUUACCAGGAGUCAAACUUCUCAUAGCAUCUGAGUGGUGUGAAGAACAGGGUGUCCUAGAAGAGGGCUAGCAGAGCAAAAAUGGGUGUUCCACUACUGAGAAGUGUGCCUGGGCUCCAACAUGACACCAGUACCCUAAACAGGAGCCAGAAGCAUCUGUGCAUUCAUUCAAAAGGGUAAGUAGGGCAGGAGUUACUAAAAAUAAAGCCAUGCAAAAAAUACAAGGCAUACUACCUAAAGCUAGCUAUCAAAGGAUUUGAGAGCAUUCUUAAAAAUAUAUGAAUUCUGUCUAUUGCCAUGUCUUUCAGAGGUAAGUUUGCUUCUUCACGUGAUGUUUUAUUUGGAAGAUUAGAAAUCAUAUAUAUUAAACUAUAGAAGAUUAUGUAUAUUUCUCACAAAAAGCUACAUUUCUCACAAAUCUAACAUCCGUACAAACCACUUGCAUAUUUUAAAUUGGUUGAAUUAGACAAGAAGUCACCGCAUGAUUAAGAGAUGAGUGAUGGUUUUUCAAGGUUGAAAUGUGGCCAAAAUGAUUUAUUAACAAUGUGGUAAAUAUCUGUACUACCUAUUUGCUUAACACUACAAAAGGCACCCUGAUUGGUUAUUACUAAGCCUCAUGUUACUUGCUUUGAAAUUAGUAGGAAUAUAUUUAUUAUAGUCAUGGGAAAUCAUUUUAUGCCUAUUUUAUUUAAAACUGUUUUGUUUUCCUGAAGAAUAUUCUGGAUUUAAAUUUUGAAAUAAUUAUAGAAUUGGCCAAUGUUGAUUUUACAGUAAAUUAAAUUGCACAGGGCCAAAAAAGCAAGUGAAAUUUCUCCUAAUGUCAGAUGAUAGAGAAGAAGUCUUGACAAGGUGUUUAUCACAAUGGUCUUGGCUUCAGGAUCACUGAGGAGCUGGUUCAAUGGAGUUUCCUGGUUCAACAUUAAUUAAGGAUAUCUGAAAGUGAUAUGUGUAAAUGAAUCCACAAUUUGAAUAAUAACCCCAGACAAUUUAUAUUACAUUGAAAAUUACAGAAGUGUAAUGAAGAAAAAAAGAGCCUGAAACCUGGUUUGAAUUCCUUUAGUUUAUUGACUUGAACCCUAAGAUUAUUUAUGAAGAUGCUACUCAAUAAAAAAUGUAAGAAACUUUUCACUGAAUUUUAUUUGAUAAUUAAAAAAAAAAUAAUACAAAACAAUGAAAUAUUAACAUUUACAAGCAGGUUGAGAAAACAUGGGUUUUGUUAAACUCAUAAAGUCUGAAUGAUUUUUACAUUGCUUCAGUACCUUUUGGAGUACCUUAUUUUAUCCAAAUGAAAAUCUAACCCUUGUCAAGUAAGAAGGAAAAAGAAAUGAGACUGGAAUUGUCUUUAUAAAAGAUAAAAUUUCUGACUAAGAUUAUUGAUUUUUAUUCAUACUAUGUAGUAUGACAGUAAUAGUAAGUCAAAUGAUGUUUUGUAAAAUUAUAAGUAAUUAAAAUCACAUAGAAAUUAAAGCUAAAAUCUGAUUUUAGAAUGCACUUAAUUAAUUCUAAUAUUGAGUAGAAAUAUUUCAAUAUUGAGUAGAAAUAUUUCAAUAUCAUGUAAUGACUUAAAAUAACUUAAUUCACCAAGUAAAACUAAAUAGAUUCUUCAAAAAAUAAAAUGCUAGUAUCAUUUGUGAGUGAACUUCAGGGCAUGCUGGGAAAUUAGAAAUAUACAAAAGUACAUUUUAUGUCCUCUUUGCACUAAUAAAUAUCAUACAUUGGGCAAAAUAUAUCCAUUUUGACUUCUGUGUGAGCCCUGUACUUUCUUAUGUAUUGGGAUUAUAGGAGAUAAACAUUAGCAAAAUUUGAAGAAUAUUGUAGAAACCUUUCUCACAUAUACUUUGAAAGAGCUAGAUAAUUAUUACAUUUUAUUCUACAUUUUUUAAAGACUUACAAAAUUAUCUUGGCAUUUUGAAAAAUUCUGAUAAUCUUAUAGUCAAGUUUUUAUUUCCCACUACAAAAAUGUAAUAUCAGGUAACUUUUACUGGUGUCUAGGAUUCAGUUGGACAAAUACUAUCAAUUCUUCAGUUCUUAAGUAUUUGCUACUUAUUUAUCUCAACAGACAUCUUCCCAAUUCCUAACCCAUGGUCUUGUCAUUUCCUAAACUGGCUUAUGAAUGUCUGAAGCUGUAUGACUUUUUUUUGUUUCUGAAGAUUAUGUGUCUCAUUUUUAUAAAAUUCUUAGAGGAUUCCAUUUUCUUACCACCCCUGCUAUUAACCCAACUCCAACCAGUUUAAACACUAGGCUAUUUUUUAUAUGGGGAAUGGUGAUGUGAACCUAGUGCUCAGGCACCUCUCAACCUGAAGAACACCCCUAUGUUAGGUUUCACUUUCCAUUUUCAAAAUCCCAGAUAACAUACUUCACUUUUCUAAUAUUUUCUUUCCAAAUGAUGCUAAGUUUGGCCAAAGUGGUAUCUCCCUGUACUGAAUUGAUAUCUUAAUUAUUAUCUGUUUGAACAGCUAAUAUAUAACAUGUUGAUUUUUCUUUGUAUCUGACAUUUUCGUCUUCAAUUUUUUUUAUGGUUUAUGUUCUAUCCUGCUCAUCCAGAAUGUAAAAAACAUGAGCAUAGAAUCUUCAUUACAGACAUUAGUAGGGGCUGAAUUAGUGCUUAGCUAACAGAUAUUAAAUGAAUAUUUGCUAUAUUUACAACUAUACAACACCUUCAUUCUUGUUUUCUAAAAUUGUAACAUACUUUGGUCAAAAUACUAUUAAUUCAAGUUAGACAAAGAUAGGCUCAUAAUUUCACACAUUUUUAAACAGGCCUUACUUGAUUAUCUGUUCAAUGCUUAUAUAUCGAAGCACCUACUAACCCAGAUUACUUUUGUGUUACUUUUAAAAACUGAAUGCCUUAAGAGGAGGGCAUAUAAAAGAUAAGACUUUACCCAUGGUGUGUUAGUUCCAAAUAUGAUUAAGUAUCCAUAAGUUGAAGUUUUAGGCAACCAUUUAGCUGCCCUGCCUUCCAAGUUGGCUUAACAUCUACAAGAGUUAAAUCAAUCAGGGUAAAGUGAGAACUGACUGGUGAAAGUGUUUCUGCACCUGCUGUCUGACAGGGUCACAGCGUGGGGGAUGCUGCAGGAAGGCCGCAGCAUCUGGAAACUGGAACCAUUAGGAAUGUUAAGUGUUUUAUUUAUGAUACUCAUGAUAUGGAUAACAGGGAACACGUCAAUCAAUAAUAAAAAGUUCUUACAUAUUGUCUGAGAUUGUAGGAAAAUUCCCAGAAUGAGACUAAGGAUGCAAUUGAGACAUGUCAUGAGGUACAUUUCAGUGUCUCUCAGGAUACAAACAAUGGUGUUAUUCCUCAAGCUUAAACAACAAUAAAUAUUUAUCCCAUGGUUAACAAUUUACACUAGCCCACCCAAUCCCAUCCUAAAGCCACAACUUGUACAAUAGCCUAGCUACAGAGAAACAAUUUCUGUGCCAACAGUACAAGGACCACCAUUUGUAGUUUAUGGUAUCCCCUCAAGGACAAGAGGCUAAUAAAAAUACAUUUCCCAACCAAUAGACCCUCCUUUGCUUUAUGCAGAAAAUUCUGAUGAAAAUGGAAAACACAUAGUUAAUACAAAUGACAAAUGAGUUGAGGUGUAAAGCCCGCCCUUUAGUUAAAGAUUACAAAGACAUAAGAAUUGGUGUGCUUUGACCAAGGAUCAAAGAAGUUCUUUAAGAAANNNNNNNNNNNNNNNNGAGACUAAGGAUGCAAUUGAGACAUGUCAUGAGGUACAUUUCAGUGUCUCUCAGGAUACAAACAAUGGUGUUAUUCCUCAAGCUUAAACAACAAUAAAUAUUUAUCCCAUGGUUAACAAUUUACACUAGCCCACCCAAUCCCAUCCUAAAGCCACAACUUGUACAAUAGCCUAGCUACAGAGAAACAAUUUCUGUGCCAACAGUACAAGGACCACCAUUUGUAGUUUAUGGUAUCCCCUCAAGGACAAGAGGCUAAUAAAAAUACAUUUCCCAACCAAUAGACCCUCCUUUGCUUUAUGCAGAAAAUUCUGAUGAAAAUGGAAAACACAUAGUUAAUACAAAUGACAAAUGAGUUGAGGUGUAAAGCCCGCCCUUUAGUUAAAGAUUACAAAGACAUAAGAAUUGGUGUGCUUUGACCAAGGAUCAAAGAAGUUCUUUAAGAAAGCAGUUAAAUAGGUCAUAUGAAAAAAGGAAAUUACCUUGGAAAUUAAAAAUAGAAUAAUGUAAAAUUAACACAGAUAUAUUUUAGAGGCAUUUCAGAGUAGUAGGCUUUUAAAUAAUAGACUUUCACUACUUUAAGUGUGUUUUACUGGGAUUUUACUUUGGAAGUAAGAAAACUUACCAAUAAUCAUAAGUAUGCUUUAAAGUUAAAGGUUAAUGAAAUAAUUAUAGGUAUGCUUUAAAGUUAGAAGUGAAUAAUAAUAGGUCAGUAGUUAUGUAGUCUAGUUGCAUCACUUAGCACCUAGUGAUUUACGCAAAAAAUGUAAAAGCUUAAUCAUGAUUAUCUAAGGUUACAGAAAAAUAAUUUGAACAAUGUAUUCAAUAUCUUAGGUAAUCGAUGUAUGCCAGAAAAGAUUGUAAUUCUUGAAAAUUAUGUAAAUCAAAAAAGUUUCAGGCUUUGAAGCUGUCCAUUAACUACCUGAAAAAACACCUGUAAAAAAGGUAUAAAAAUAAAGGUCCCUCUAGGGGCAGAGAGAUGUCUUCUGGAGGUUGCUCCUAACUUGCAACCUGUCAUCCCGAGCCUUCUGAUGCCACUCCUCCUUCACGACCCCCUGGACCCUCACUCCCCCCGUGGGGGCUGGACCUCAGCAGCUGACUUUAACUAAACUGUCACCCAGAGGGCAGCUCUUGGUUGCCAAAGUAGUCAUUUGUGGUCAAUCUCAUGGGGAAUCCCUGAAAAUCAUUGCAAAGAGGAACCCAAGUUAUGAAGAAAAGGACAAGGGCCAAGCAAAGAUAGUAAUUCUCUAGGUAUCAAAUACAAACUGAGAGAUGCAGAGAGCUCUAAAGGGUUUUGCUGAAAACUCUUUUUCUGCCUUCCAGCUUUAUUGCUCUUGUCCAAGGUAUCACAACUCCUAUUCCAAAAGCAUUGUAAAAUAACCUUGUAGCUUAUUUAGGUAAAGAAUAUUUUUAGCAAAGAGUAAAGUGCCUUUUAGGUAUCAGAGACUUUAAAGAAAUUUACUAAUUCACUGAAAACCUCAGAUCUUAAAGUAUAUAUUUUACUAAUGUUAUUUAUUUAUUAAAUAUCUAUCCAUUUCAAUCACCAACUCCAGUGCUAGAUAAAUUAAAAGUAUUACACAGUUUUUUCUCCCCCAAAGCAUAGAAUUUGAAGGGGUGGCACAUAGAUCACUUAUAACUACAUAGAUGUGUCAUAAAUGAUGUGAUAUAAACCAGGAGAGGGUGCUAGGAGAUACAUGGGAGGGAGGGACUGGAAGAAUUACAGGGAAUUAAUGGUGUUUCCCAACCUACUCCCAAUAAAUCUUAUAUAAUUUGCUAAAAAAAUGCUAAAUAAUUAUAUCUUCCUUAACUUUUUCCUGAUAUCAGUUUACUGAUUUACCUUUUAAAUCUUUCUUAUAAAAGUAAAAACCUAGAAAACAAAAUAGUAAUUGAAUACUCUGGAUUAGGAACCCAGAUUCUGGCUUAUGAUGUUGAAGUAGGAUAUUUUUGCAUCUUAAGAAGAUGUUUCUCUGGAGAAAUUCCAGCAUCAGGUGUAGCAGAGAAACAAGAAAAAGUUCAAAAACUCAGGAGCUUGAGCCUUGUUUCUACUUUAAUCAGCAUCUUACUUUUAUCUGUUUAUUAGAGUGCAGUCUCAUGUAAAUUUUCAGUUAAAAGAAGUAUGUGUGUGUGAUACAAAAUAAAUUUCAAAAGCUCUAAAGUAAAGAAAAUAAACUCCUACUCUCUUUUAUCUACUUAAUAUUUCCAAGUCUAAACUCAUUAGUCUUACUUCAAGGUCCUGUAUAAGUUGGUUCUCAGGCUUGACACUAAGUUCACCAUCAAUAAAAAGAAAUAUUGAUAAAUUCAACCUGACCUAAAAAAAAAAUUGCUUCAGAAAGGACUCCAUAAAGAAGAUGAAAAUUCCAACUACAGACUGCAAAUCAAAUAUUUGAAAACCAUAUUAUAAACAAUAUAAUAACAUGUAGAAAACAUAGCUCUGAAAACAAAGAAGGGAAAAAGAAUAAAAUCUAAUUAUAAAAUAAUUAGACAUUUUAUCAAAGAGAGUUUGUAAGUAAGUAAUCUUUGGGAUCUUCAAAUUAAAAGUGCAAGGACAAAUAUUGGUGAGGAUGUGGGAAAUUAGCUCACUCACACAUUGCUUUUAAUAUGAACAUGGUACACUCACUCUGGAAAACAUUUUGGCAGUUUCUUAUAUUAAGCAUGUCAUUGACAUGUCAUUCAGUAUUUGCACUGUCGCCCAUUUAUUCUAAAACAAUGAAAACUUAUUCUCCCACAAAGACAGCUAUAUGAGGCAGAUUCAAGAGAGUGCAUUAGAGGAAGGCUGACAUUCCAGUUGCUCUGUGGCUUGGGAUUCAAGCAGUGGAAAUACUGCUUCACAGCAACAUGGGUGAAAGAGGGAAUUCAUUGAAGUUUGACAGUGGACAGUCAGAGGUGCUUAGAGACUCAGAAAUUCUGGUGCAUCAAAGGACAAGAGCACAUUGGAGUCAAGCUGGUGGUGGCAUCAGUGGCAGCUGUGCCAUUUCAUCAUAGAACAAAGGAAUAACCCAAACAUAGAUGUGUCAUAAACUAUGUGAUAUAAACUACGAGAGGGAGCUAGGGGACACACUGGAGGGAGGGCCUAGAAGAAUUACAGGGAGUUCAUGGUGUUUCCCCCACCCACUCCCAAUAAAUCUUACACAGUCUGCUAAAAAUGUUAAAUAAUUUUAUCUUCCUUAACUUUGGCAUGGAAAAACUGGUAGAACAGAACAAUAUCCAAACUUAGGUGAAAACCAAACCUGCACAGCAAUGUGGCGUUUGAGCCCAGUGGGGUGGUGCAUGCCUGUAAUCCCAGUUGUUCCGGAGGCUGAAGAAGGAGUUUUUGGAGUCCAAAGCCAGUCUCAGUAAGGGCGAGGUGUUUAACAACUCACUGAGACCCUGUUUCUAAAUAAAAUACAAAAUAGGGCUGGGGACGUGGCUCAGUGGUCAAGCACCCCUGAGUUUAAUCCCCGGUACCCACUCCCCCGCCUCCCCCCAAAAAAAGUGUUCUGUGUUUGUCAACUGGAAAGUGAAAAGCUGAGGCAGGGAGACAUCUGCAGGAACCUGGAAGAUUAUAGACAACAUUGUCAUACUGUCCCAGCAAGAGCAUAUUGUGUGGCUUAGGGUGUACCUGAAAAACCAGCCUCUACCUCAGAGCAAAGCCUGUCCAAGGAAGGGGGCGUGACCCUUGUCCUUGGAAAGACCCACUGAGCACUCCUAGGCACAUUCCCACCCUGCUGAGUUGUUUAUCUACAAAUAACAGGGGAGAUUUGGUGCGCCAGGUGUCCCUGACUCAGUCAGGCUAGGUGGGUAUCCAUAGCAACCCCCUAGCAGCCAUCAAUCAGCAAGAGACCGGGAAAAUACCUGGGAUGCCAGAUGACCCUCCCAGUAGUUUAUGGUGGUUGAUAAAAUGUUGGGAAACCAUGUAGUUCAGCAUGUACUCUCCUCUUGGCUUAAACCAAUCAGUUCAAAGGAAUCCCCGUCUUGUACUAACCAAUCACCCCUACCCAACUUGUUCCCUCCAGUGAAUGUGCUAAUCAUGUUUUAGAGUUGUUUUAUGAUUUUCCCGCAGUGUGUGAUGAUUUGCUAAGAGAUGCUAUGAUGUAUGUGGAGUCCCUGCCUUCCCCAAAGAGUGAAUAAAACUGCUGCAAACCCUGGGCCCGGGCCUCUCAGCAUCACCAGUUGCUGUGUGCACGCAGAGGACCAAGCUAGCUCGCAAUAAACACCUCUUUGCUGCUUAUAUUGAUCUUGGUCUCCGGUGGUCUUUUGGGGGUCCCAAAUUUGAGCAUAACAUACCUAGCAGAACAUGAUUGAGACAGGUAAAGAGAAGAUUGUAUGUAGGGGGAUACAAAAUGGAGUAAGAGAUACAAAAUGGAGUGCAACUAGCUUUUCCUUAGUCUGGCGGGUCCUGUGACCAGACUAAGAUUGUCAGGAAACUGAACAGGUAGGAUUGAUUACACUCAGGGAAUGAGCAUGGGAAGGUCAGACUUAAGAGUGGUAAAGUGUACGAUACCGUGAAGGAUUGGCUCCCUUGUAGUAAAAGAUUCUCGGGAAGCUUCUGAGAUAGAGGCUUACAGCACAAAUCAGCAUCAACCUAGCCCUAGUGGUGAACUGAUCUAUUCUUUCCAGAGCUAAUAC
rnacentral:lncRNA from 1 species